CUGACCUCUACAGGAUGUUUGGGUGAAGGUCAUUUUCUAUUAUAUGGCCUAUAAAAUCAUUUCCAUUGGGAAAGAAUGGCAGAAAAGUCAUCAUCCUUUGAAGACAGUUUUAAUUAAAAGCAGAAAACCUUAGCUGACACACUCAAGGCUGAAAUGCAGUCAGCGGAAAUGGAAACACUCCAACCCUGCCCCUGUGGCAAGAAUGGCUUCCCGUUAGACAAUCUGAUCAGAUUCUUGAUGGACCAAAGGGAGCAAAAGGAAGGAAAUCAGCAUACUAGACCAACUCUCUGGGUAUGAUGCAACCUCAACAACUAAGAAGAUCCUGAGCAGAGGCCCAGCUAAGCACAGUCCAGACUUUUGACCUACAGAAACUGUGAGGUUCUGAUUUAAUGAAACCAACCAUUUUGUACACUGCUCUGUUUCCUGUCUCAAGUGUUGCCUGGAAGGAAAGUCCUAGGUACUAAAAAAGUAAGGAUUACCUGUGUGCCUUGCGUUAUAUUUUUAUUGGCCAGCAGUAUGCAGUGGUGAAUUCUUUGAGUUUGCAUUCACCUUAAAUCUUAUUUUGACUUCAGUUUUGCAUGAAAAAAAUGUUAAAAAAAAAAGAGUCCUUCUGGAAGAAAGAAAAUGAUACCAAGUGGAACUAUGAAUCUACACAAAGAUGAAGAGUUUUAGGAGAGGUAACUAUAUGGAUCCACUUUAAUCUGCACUUUACUGUUCCUCUCCUCUGGGUAAUUCUAAUCUGCAGCCAGAGUCCUCCUACUUGAGCUUGCCUCCGGGUCAUGUGGAGGGUUGUUGAAACACAGCAUGCUGCCCCUGCCUCACACCCCUGUACACACCAAAGAGCUUCUGAUCCAGUCUGCCAGGUGCCUGAGCAUGUACAUUUCCAACAGGUUCCUGGGUGAUGCUGAUGCUGCACUAGAAUGUAUGGUAAGUCAGUUAAAUGAUGUCAGUUUAGUCAUUUCUUUAUUCCUGAUGGCUUGGAAAAGAAGAAAAGGGAAAGUGAAAUACAAGAAGGACAGACUAGGGGCGAAGUUAAGUUGUAUUUUCCCAUUAAA